GCCCAGCUGACGAGUCCCAAAUAGGACGAAACGCGUGUCAUGGAU
rnacentral:hammerhead_ribozyme from 1 species